UACAGAGGUCUCGAGCGUUAAUCGGAGUUACUGGGCUUAAAGGGUGCGUAGGCGGUUCCGUAAGUGCCUUGUGAAAUCCCAUGGCUUAACCGUGGAAUUGCUCGGUAGACUGCGGGGCUUGAGGUCAGUAGGGGUCGCUGGAACUCUAGGUGGAGCGGUGAAAUGCGUAGAUAUCUAGAGGAACGCCAAAGGUGAAGACAGGCGACUGGGCUGAUGCUGACGCUGAGGCACGAAAGCGUGGGGAG
rnacentral:rRNA from 1 species